rnacentral:rRNA from 1 species
GGAGCUGAAAUCAGUCGAAGAUACCAGCUGGCUGCAACUGUUUAUUAAAAACACAGCACUGUGCAAACACGAAAGUGGACGUAUACGGUGUGACGCCUGCCCGGUGCCGGAAGGUUAAUUGAUGGGGUUAUCCUCGCGGAGAAGCUCUUGAUCGAAGCCCCGGUAAACGGCGGCCGUAACUAUAACGGUCCUAAGGUAGCGAAAUUCCUUGUCGGGUAAGUUCCGACCUGCACGAAUGGCGUAAUGAUGGCCAGGCUGUCUCCACCCGAGACUCAGUGAAAUUGAACUCGCUGUGAAGAUGCAGUGUACCCGCGGCAAGACGGAAAGACCCCGUGAACCUUUACUAUAGCUUGACACUGAACACUGGUCCUUGAUGUGUAGGAUAGGUGGGAGGCUUUGAAGUGUGGACGCCAGUCUGCAUGGAGCCAUCCUUGAAAUACCACCCUUUAAUGGCUGGUGUUCUAACGUGGGCCCCUAAUCGGGGUUGCGGACAGUGUCUGGUGGGUAGUUUGACUGGGGCGGUCUCCUCCUAAAGAGUAACGGAGGAGCACGAAGGUCAGCUAAUCCUGGUCGGACAUCAGGAGGUUAGUGCAAUGGCAUAAGCUGGCUUGACUGCGAGCGUGACGGCGCGAGCAGGUGCGAAAGCAGGUCAUAGUGAUCCGGUGGUUCUGAAUGGAAGGGCCAUCGCUCAACGGAUAAAAGGUACUCCGGGGAUAACAGGCUGAUACCGCCCAAGAGUUCAUAUCGACGGCGGUGUUUGGCACCUCGAUGUCGGCUCAUCACAUCCUGGGGCUGAAGUAGGUCCCAAGGGUAUGGCUGUUCGCCAUUUAAAGUGGUACGCGAGCUGGGUUUAGAACGUCGUGAGACAGUUCGGUCCCUAUCUGCCGUGGGCGCUGGAGAAUUGAGGGGGGCUGCUCCUAGUACGAGAGGACCGGAGUGGACGCAUCACUGGUGUUCGGGUUGUCAUGCCAAUGGCAUUGCCCGGUAGCUAAAUGCGGAAGAGAUAAGUGCUGAAAGCAUCUAAGCACGAAACUUGCCCCGAGAUGAGUUCUCCCUGACUCCUUGAG